rnacentral:rRNA from 1 species
CGGGGCGGGGGCACGGGGGGCCUACGGGGAGGCAGCAGUGGGGGAAUCUUGCGCAAUGGCCGAAAGGCUGACGCAGCGACGCUGCGUGUGGGAGGACGCCUUUCGGGGUGUAAACCACUGUUGCCCGGGACGAACACGGCUAUUCGUAGCCGCUGACGGUAACCGGGUGAGGAAGCACCGGCUAACUCUGUGCC